rnacentral:tRNA from 1 species
UGGCUCGGUUGGUAGAGCAUGGCGCUGGCAAUGCUAGGGUUGUGGGUUUGAAUCCCAU